rnacentral:rRNA from 1 species
CUAGUACGAGAGGACCGGGAUGGACGGACCUCUGGUCUACCAGUUGUUCCGCCAGGAGCAUUGCUGGGUAGCUACGUUCGGACGGGAUAAACGCUGAAAGCAUCUAAGCGUCAAGCCCCCUCCAAGACUAGAUUUCCCGUGGGGUUAACCCACCUGAAGGCCCCUCGAAGACUACGAGGUUGAUAGGUCGCAGGUCGAAGCACGGUAACGUGUGAAGCCGAGCGAUACUAAUUGGCCGUGCGGCUUAACCAU